rnacentral:lncRNA from 1 species
GGGGGGUAUUUGAGAAUUUUCCGCUUUCGCUAAAUUUUUCUGUGUACCUAAAACUACUCUAAAAACAAAGUCCUUUCCUUAAAAAAAAAAAAGGUAAUAAUGAAUUUGGGGGCAAUACUAAUAGAAACAUACUAACGAGAAUGGGCAUGAAUAACGACUUUAUUCUACUUUUCACUGUUAAAAACAGGCAACACCUGUGGUAUGUGCUUACUUCAAAGUGCCAAAUGUUGCAAAGGGAUUAUGAAAACUAGGUAUGUGCAGAAUAGAAAAACCGAUGCCCUGAAAGGAUGCAAAACCAUGUCACAUGAGGAUAUGCAGAAGGGAAUGAGAAUCUUUAACUUGCAGGAGUAGAGAUAAUGAGUGGGGUGGAAUGCAAGAGCAGUUGUCUUUAGACAUUUGAAGAGCUGCCUUAUGAAGGAAUGAUUUCUACUACUCUAAGUUGAUAACUCAAUCUGGGGAAAGUCAGCUGCCAUUUAUGAACAGCCCUAUGGAGAGGCCCUCAAAGUCAAGGGACUGUAGUGUCUGACAGGAGCCAUGUGAGUGGGCUCAGAAGCAGACUCUCCAGUCGCAGUCAAGCCUACGAUGACUGCAGCCCCAACCAACAACUGAAUAACCACGUCAUGAUAGAUACUGAGCCAGAAUCACCCAGCUAAGCUGCUCUCAAAUUCCUGAUCACAGAAAGUGUGAGAUAAUAAAUGUUUGUUAUCUAAAACA